CUCACAGUUUGUAGGAUCUUCUGACACUGCUUUUUUUGCAGCUCCACCACUGAAAGAACAAAUAUUUCAGGUUGCUUUUAUGUUUUUUUCCCCUUUUUAGCUUCACAAAAGCAAAUUCUUGAGUGGUUAUUGGUAUCUGGUCAAAGCAUCAGCCCAGUGUAGAGUACAUGGGAAGUGACUCUCAUAUUCGUCCUUAUUAAAUACCGUAUUAACAACAGACAUCAAGAAGAGGAUCCACCUCAUCUGCGUGAAUGAUUAACCAUUAAGACAAAUCAUCGGUGAAACGACGCAUCCUCCUCCACCACUGCGGCGCUUUGUCGAGGCUCGAUGGGGAUCAGCAAAGGGCCGUGCUCGGUUUAAGAAAAUUAAGGUACAGCAGGUCGGUGGGUCUCCAAAACCCAAACCGGCAUGAAGAAGCUCAGCAAGUGGAAAUUGAGGAUGAUGAAGCACCAGAACAACUGAACAGAGGGUGCAGAGGUUGUUUUUAGGUUUCCCAUGAGCAUCACGAGGCUCUUAAAGCUUCAGGAUUCGCAAUCUUGGAGAUUUCAUCCUCCUGCCGUGAGGCCGUUGGAUUUUAUUAUUCCUUUCCCAAUUCCUACAGCAGCCUGCACCCUGAAAUCCAGCUACGGGGUGAGGACAGAAGCUGUUAAUUGAAAGGCACUGACUUUUUGGGUGAAAUACCCAAUUUUAGGGGCAAAAGGCCAUUUUCAGCACCAGAUGAUUUCUCAGUAAAUGCAUUUUCCCCAGGUACUUCACUAAGAUAUCUACAUACAGGGCCACGACGGGAUUACACCUGCCCAUCCACGGUGUCUCAUUAACCAGGGGUGAGCAUCCCUACUCAGCAUCCCAGACCCAGGGAGGAAGAAGAUGCUAAAGCAUCAUCUGCAGAGAAAUGCAAUUAUUUUCUGAGGGCUGCUGAGCAUCUCCACCGAGCCAGCUUUUCCGGGGAAGAUCAAAGCCAACCUCUGAUCAGGAGAGCUGAGCGAGAUCUCUUCAAUGGUGCAGGAGAACAGGGGAGGAAUGAAAAAAAUAUAAAGAAAAAGGGGGAUGGCUGGGAGCAAGGUGAAGGGUUUUAUUAUUGGGGAUGGAUAAACCCUAAACAAACCCUGCUGUGGUUGGUGUCUCACCUCUAGCGACUCCAUCACGGCAUGACUGGGUUUUCAGAGCCCACCAAGGAGCUUCUUGGUGCCAAUGGGUGAUGUAGGGCUGGCUGGACCACACUGAGCUCAGCUAUUCCCUCGUCCUCCAGCAACCCCAGCCCACCUCAUCUCAGCUUUGCCGCUGGGGUAACAGAAGCUUCAAGGGCUUUUUUUGGAAAAAAGGACCAAGAGGACCCAGUGCAUCUUUUAUAGAUGCUGUUGCCUCCGGCAGAAAAGCCAAAGCAAACUCCAGUGCUUUGAUUUUGGCACUUUUAAGCAGAAAGGAGAGAAAGAUUCCCAAACCGGACCAAACCCUGCAGAUAACUGAGCUGAAGUGGAUGCUCGAGGAUGUCCCACCGUCACAUUCCCUCCUGCCAAUCAUCCAGCAGCAAUAAACUCAUCAAUGACAGCAAUUUUGGGGCUUUUUCAAGGCCCCGGUGAAGGGAGGGGAGAAGGCACGUGACUGGCAGAUGUUCCCUCUCCCUUCAAAUUUAGUUUGUGCUCUAUAUUCAAAUGGCAGUUUAAUGAGCUUUUCCUUAUUUCCAGCAACUUUAUCACAUCAUUAAAGCAUAGAGAUGAAUAAUACAUCUAGCGCCUGGAUUAAGCUGAACUUCAGACCCAACACAGCUUCAAACAGAGGAGGUAAGAGAAGAGGCUGGAGGACGAGGUCAUUGCCUUAAAAAUGACGGAAAUUGGGUAAAAAAAACCUGACCUGGAUCACAUCACACUGCACCCAGUGCUCGGUCAGGUCUUGGCCGUAUCAACCCGUUGCCAAAGAGGAGCACUGGUCGCAUCUACAUGGAUG